UACGUAGGUGGCAAGCGUUGUCCGGAUUUACUGGGCGUAAAGAGCGCGCAGGCGGUCGAAUAAGUCGAAUGUGAAAGCCCCCGGCUUAACUGGGGGAGGGUCAUUCGAUACUGCUCGACUUGAAGGCAGGAGAGGGUAGUGGAAUUCCCGGUGUAGUGGUGAAAUGCGUAGAUAUCGGGAGGAACACCAGUGGCGAAGGCGACUACCUGGCCUGUUCUUGACGCUGAGGCGCGAAAGCUAGGGGAGCAAACGGG
rnacentral:rRNA from 1 species